GCCUUCGUGGUAUAGUGGUCAGUACGCUCGACGCAUAUUCGAGAGGUCCGUGGUUCGAGUCCCGGCGAGGGCA
rfam:Stegodyphus mimosarum contig105711, whole genome shotgun sequence.